UCAAAAAUAAUAAACCUAAAAGAAAAUGGAAAUUUUAGGGCAUUUUGUGUUAAAUGCCUAAUUUUGCCGAAAUGGGGAAUUUUAUUCCAUGAAUGGACCUUAGGUUAAAUUUUAUUAUGUGAUUAAUUAAAUUAAAUGUGAGAGACAUUUAAUUUAAUUAAUUAAUGUUAAGUUUGGUGAUUAAAACUUAAUAAGAGUGAAAAAAGGUGUCAAAAGUCAAUUUGGACUUUUCUUCUUAUAAACCUUUAUUAACCUUUAUAAAAAAUUAAAAAAAAAUUAAAAAAAAAUUAAUGGUCACAUAUAUGGAAAAGGGUGGCUGGCCAUGUGCUAUUUUAGAGUGGUGUGAACCCAAUUUUAUAAAAUUCAAAUCCCAUUUAAUUAAGAAGUCAAGUGGGCAAGUGGGUAGAAAAGCACUCAAGUGUUUUGUGAUAUUUUGAAGAGUUGUGUGAGCCAUUCUAACCCCCAAAUCCGACCACUCUCCCUCCCUCAUUCACUCUCAUCUGAUUUUUGAAGACUCUCUCAAGUGUUCUCUCCAUUUUGAACCCCAAGAACACCAAAGAAACUUGGAAGCUAAGUCUUGGUCUAGGAAGGGUUUUCCCUAAGGGUUUUUGAAAGGUUUUGAAGGAGUCAAAGCUUAUAGGAAGGUCCAAACCUUAAGCAAGAACACCAAAGAGUAUUGGCUAAGCGUAACUGGACUGAACGUUGGAGGGUGAAAACCUGCUGAGCGCUAAGGACUCCAAGUAAGUCAACUUAUAUUGUAUGGCUGCAACAUGAAAUGAUUAUUGUCUUGUAUGUUAGUAUAGGGAUACAUGCACAUAUGUAGGCUGUCAUAGAAAGUUGCUUAGAGGCGUUAGUCUAGUGAGUGCUGAUUUAGAAAAUAUGAACGGUAGAAGUCCGUCAUAUCCUAGACGGUUGAUCCCCGUCACACUGCUUGAUUUUAUUUAUGUCCGGUUCAUUACCGCGACGAGUGGCCAUGAGAUGAGGAUAAGCUGGUUAAACCUAGGGGCGCCAAGAUAAAUGGGACCUAGGGGCCCUCAUGCUUACUUAAUCAUUGGACGGUUAGAAUCCGAGCAAGUGCUCUGAUAAGUUAUUCCCGGAUAGCAGCCGUGAAUAUUGGCCAUUCCGUGAGAGUGCCUAGAGAUACUAGGGGUUGCCAAGAUUGAGUGAGGUUGAACACCCUAGGGGCAGCUGCUCACCAGCACCACUGAUUAACAUAGAAGUCUCCGUAAAACCGUGUAAAUUGGAUUACACUCUUGAAUAAGUAGCGAUGCCCUAGGUAACACGAUAGUUACCCUUGAUGAGAAUAUUUAUUGGCUAGAUCUUAGUGUGGAGACUCGGUUCUCUUUUACAGAUUAGCAAUUAUGUUGGAGGGCGCGUUACGCAUGAAUUGUUAG